rfam:Rattus norvegicus chromosome 16, whole genome shotgun sequence.
CCAAAAGCUCUUUUCAGAGCCACCCAAUAAAUAAAUAAAUAAAUAA